AAAAGAACCCCGGCGAGGGGAGUGAAAAAGAACCUGAAACCGUGUACGUACAAGCAGUGGGAGCACAGAGCAAUCUGUGUGACUGCGUACCUUUUGUAUAAUGGGUCAGCGACUUAUAUUCUGUAGCAAGGUUAACCGAAUAGGGGAGCCGAAGGGAAACCGAGUCUUAACUGGGCGUUAAGUUGCAGGGUAUAGACCCGAAACCCGGUGAUCUAGCCAUGGGCAGGUUGAAGGUUGGGUAACACUAACUGGAGGACCGAACCGACUAAUGUUGAAAAAUUAGCGGAUGACUUGUGGCUGGGGGUGAAAGGCCAAUCAAACCGGGAGAUAGCUGGUUCUCCCCGAAAGCUAUUUAGGUAGCGCCUCGUGAAUUCAUCUCCGGGGGUAGAGCACUGUUUCGGCAAGGGGGUCAUCCCGACUUACCAACCCGAUGCAAACUGCGAAUACCGGAGAAUGUUAUCACGGGAGACACACGGCGGGUGCUAACGUCCGUCGUGAAGAGGGAAACAACCCAGACCGCCAGCUAAGGUCCCAAAGUCAUGGUUAAGUGGGAAACGAUGUGGGAAGGCCCAGACAGCCAGGAUGUUGGCUUAGAAGCAGCCAUCAUUUAAAGAAAGCGUAAUAGCUCACUGGUCGAGUCGGCCUGCGCGGAAGAUGUAACGGGGCUAAACCAUGCACCGAAGCUGCGGCAGCGACACUGUGUGUUGUUGGGUAGGGGAGCGU
rnacentral:rRNA from 1 species